UCCGGUUGAUCCUGCCGGAGGCUACCGCUAUUGGAGUUCGAUUAAGCCAUGCGAGUCGCGAGUCUUAGGGACUCGGCGUACCGCUCAGUAACACGUGGGUAACCUGCCCUAUGCUGGGGGAUAACCUCGGGAAACUGAGAAUAAUACCCCAUAGUUCACCACGCCUGGAACGGUGGGUGGACCAAAGCUCCGGCGGCAUAGGAUGGGCCUGCGGCGUAUCAGGUUGUAGGGGGUGUAAUGUACCCUCUAGCCCUCUAUGCGUACGGGUGUUGAGAGACAUCGCCCGGAGAUGGAUUCUGAGACACGAAUCCAGAUCCUACGGGGUGCAGCAGGCGCGAAAACUUGGCAAUGCGAGAAAUCGUGACCAGGGAACUCCAAGUGCAUCGGGUAAGACCGAUGCUUUUCUUGACUCUUCAAAGGUCUUGGAAUAAGGGGUGGGUAAGGACGGUGCCAGCCGCCGCGGUAAUACCGGCGCCCCAAGUGGUAGUCGCUUUUAUUGGGCCUAAAACGUCCGUAGCCGGUCUGGUACAUUCGUGGGUAAAUCAACCAGCUCAACUGGUUGAAUUCUGCGAGCACGGCCAGACUUGGGACCGGGAGAGGUGUGGGGUACUCUCAGGGUAGGGGUAAAAUCCUGUCAUCCUGAGAGGACCACCUGUUGCGAAGGCGCCACACUAGAACGGAUCCGACGGUCAGGGACGAAGCCUAGGGGCACGAACCGGAUUAGAUACCCGGGUAGUCCUAGGUGUAAACGCUGUGGACUUGAUGUUGGGGGCGCUCCGAGCGCACUCAGUGUCGAAGCGAAGGUGAUAAGUCCACUGCCUGGGGAGUACGGUCGCAAGGCUGAAACUUAAAGGAAUUGGCGGGGGAGCACCGCAACCUGAGGAUUGUGCGGUUUAAUUGGAUUCAACGCCGGG
rnacentral:rRNA from 1 species